ACGGGAGGCAGCAGUGGGGAAUAUUGGACAAUGGGGGAAACCCUGAUCCAGCGACGCCGCGUGAGUGAAGAAGUAUUUCGGUAUGUAAAGCUCUAUCAGCAGGGAAGAUGAUGACGGUACCUGACUAAGAAGCCCCGGCUAACUACGUGCCAGCAGCCGCGGUAAUACGUAGGGGGCAAGCGUUAUCCGGAUUUACUGGGUGUAAAGGGAGCGUAGGCGGCGAUGCAAGUCAGAGGUGAAAACCCGGGGCUCAACUCCGAGGACUGCCUUUGAAACUGCGUUGCUGGAGUGCAGGAGAGGCAAGCGGAAUUCCUAGUGUAGCGGUGAAAUGCGUAGAUAUUAGGAAGAACACCGGUGGCGAAGGCGGCUUGCUGGACUGAGACUGACGCUGAGGCUCGAAAGCGUGGGGAGCAAACAGGAUUAGAUACCCUGGUA
rnacentral:rRNA from 2 species